GACGAACCACACAAACGUUAUUCGGAAUUACUGGGCUUAAAGGGUGCGUAGGCGGCGCAGAAAGUAGGGUGUGAAAUCCCUCGGCUCAACCGAGGAACUGCGCCCUAAACUACUGUGCUCGAGGGAGGUAGAGGUGAGCGGAACUUAGGGUGGAGCGGUGAAAUGCGUAGAUAUCGGGAGGAACACCAGUGGCGAAGGCGGCGACCUGGGCCAAUAUUGACGCUGAGGUGCGAAAGCGUGGGGAGCAAACAGG
rnacentral:rRNA from 1 species